rnacentral:rRNA from 1 species
CCUACGGGAGGCAGCAGUGGGGAAUAUUGGACAAUGGGGGGAACCCUGAUCCAGCCAUGCCGCGUGUGUGAAGAAGGCCCUCGGGUUGUAAAGCACUUUCAGUGAGGAAGAACGCCUGGUGGUUAAUACCCAUCAGGAAAGACAUCACUCACAGAAGAAGCACCGGCUAACUCCGUGCCAGCAGCCGCGGUAAUACGGAGGGUGCGAGCGUUAAUCGGAAUUACUGGGCGUAAAGCGCGCGUAGGUGGCUUGAUAAGCCGGUUGUGAAAGCCCCGGGCUCAACCUGGGAACGGCAUCCGGAACUGUCAAGCUAGAGUGCAGGAGAGGAAGGUAGAAUUCCCGGUGUAGCGGUGAACUGCGUAGAGAUCGGGAGGAAUACCAGUGGCGAAGGCGGCCUUCUGGACUGACACUGACACUGAGGUGCGAAAGCGUGGGUAGCAAACAGGAUUAGAUACCCUGGUAGUC